rnacentral:rRNA from 1 species
CACGUAGGGGGCGAGCGUUGUCCGGAUUUAUUGGGCGUAAAGAGCUCGUAGGCGGCUAAGUAAGUCAGGUGUGAAAACUCCAGGCUCAACCUGGAGACGCCACCUGAUACUGCUUUGGCUAGAGUCCGGUAGGGGAGCAUGGAAUUCCUGGUGUAGCGGUGAAAUGCGCAGAUAUCAGGAGGAACACCGGUGGCGAAGGCGGGUCUCUGGGCCGAUACUGACGCUGAGGAGCGAAAGCGUGGGGAGCGAACAGG